rnacentral:lncRNA from 1 species
CUUCAACCCCUCCUUUCCUGGUACUUUAAUCAGAGAGCUUUUAACACCCUGUGGCCCACACCUGAGUGUUUUAAGCUUUCUUCCUUAAGUAGCUUUCAGAAUUCCUAAGUAGCUUGUGCUGGUGAUCCACAUAUGGUGCAGAAGAGAUAGCAGUGUUAGCAUCUUGAUUGUGAGUACUUCUGGGAAAUACUAAGAUCCGAGGCAUCAGUUCCAGGUACCUGUCUGGAAAAGAAGAACUAUGUUCCCCAAGAGCCUUUUCGAGUACUGUUAUCAUUCCUACUCAAGGGAACAGAUAUAAGGGUGCAAGUCAUCUGUCUUGUCCCUCUUCUCAUCUCGCCGUGUUCCCUGUCGGAUCGGCUCACUACUGCUGCUGCCGACUGCACGCAAGGCUUCAGUAUUAGCGUAAGGCCUUUGGCUCUCGGACAAUCUUUCUCUCAAUUAUUGCUGAUUUAUAUUGUAUUAUAGUGUGUUAUCUUACAUUCUGAUACUAUAUUUAGUAAAUUAGUUUGUUU